UUUCAGCGGACGAGCGCCUUGUAGGACGUUAUCUCACCCGCUCAUAUAAGGAUUGUGAUUCCCAUGCUGCUGUCCACGCUGGCUUUUCGAAAAGUUCAGGAUUCGAUAUACACAGGGCUGGUGGUAAUACAGUAUUGUAUUGAGUCAGAACAUAACACGUCAGAUUUAAUGCUAGGUACAGAAGUAGCUGCACUUUAGGCAAGCGAAGGAAGAUGAACAGUGCUCAGCUGGUUUAAUGAUAUGCCAGGCCCGAGCUUUCCUCCCCAACCACCCCCAUAUCCAAACCCAUCCAGUUCUUCUUCCAGAUUUCCGCUGGGCGCCCAAAGUUUCUUUGCGUGGUGCUGUCCCCGAAGAUUUCCACCAUAGCUAGUCUGGAGGAGACAAGCGGACCAUGGAAUUCCUUGGCAACGCUGAACUAUCAGGAUGCGCACAAAGCCUUGUUCCGCCCCCCUCUGCUGAAUCAAGGAGGACCGCCGGUGAGAUAGAACAAAAUGGCUAAGUGUCAUCAGGAUUCAUGUCCAGGCUAGGGAUGCUAGAGAGAACUGGUGCUCCGUUGGAGAAGCAUGUUCAGGCCCCAGUACGCGGCGCAAGAGCGGUAGUGUUCGAGAGCUCUGGCGCCCAAGGAUCUGCUUCGUCUCAGGCUAGUGCAGAUGACGCUGUUGUGGGGGAUUCUGGAGGCAAAGAUGAGGUCGCUGAGGCAACAUCUGGAUGGACUAGAAGAGCCGGGAGACGAGUUCGCUAACGAGGAGCCCGUUGAGUUUGCUUUCGAG